GCGGAAGUGGCGGAAUUUGGUAGACGCACCAGAUUUAGGUUCUGGUUAUUGAAAUUAUAAUAUAAUACGAGUUCAAAUCUCGUCUUCCGCA
rnacentral:tRNA from 1 species